rnacentral:rRNA from 1 species
GACGAACGCUGGCGGCGUGCUUAACACAUGCAAGUCGAACGGAAAGACCCUGCUUUUGUGGGGUGCUCGAGUGGCGAACGGGUGAGUAACACGUGAGUAACCUGCCCUUGACUUUGGGAUAACUUCAGGAAACUGGGGCUAAUACCGGAUAGGAGCUCCUGCUGCAUGGUGGGGGUGGGAAAGUUUCGGCGGUUGGGGUUGGACUCGCGGCUUAUCAGCUUGUUGGUGGGGUAGUGGCUUACCAAGGCUUUGACGGGUAGCCGGCCUGAGAGGGUGACCGGCCACAUUGGGACUGAGAUACGGCCCAGACUCCUACGGGAGGCAGCAGUGGGGAAUAUUGCACAAUGGGCGGAAGCCUGAUGCAGCAACGCCGCGUGCGGGAUGACGGCCUUCGGGUUGUAAACCGCUUUCGCCUGUGACGAAGCGUGAGUGACGGUAAUGGGUAAAGAAGCACCGGCUAACUACGUG